rnacentral:rRNA from 1 species
GAAGAAGGUCUUCGGAUUGUAAAGCACUUUAAGUUGGGAGGAAGGGCAUUAACCUAAUACGUUGGUGUUUUGACGUUACCGACAGAAUAAGCACCGGCUAACUCUGUGCCAGCAGCCGCGG